UGCAGACGGGCCGGCGCUCGGUUGGGUCUCAUAAGCCCGAUGGCUGGGUUCAACUCCCAGGUCUGCAAC
rnacentral:tRNA from 1 species